rnacentral:rRNA from 1 species
AACGAACGCUGGCGGCGUGGAUAAGACAUGCAAGUCGAACGGGAUUACUUCUGUAGCAAUACAGGAGUAAUUUAGUGGCGAACGGGUGCGUAACACGUGGGCAAUCUGCCGAGAAGUGGGGGAUAGCUCGCCGAAAGGCGAAUUAAUACCGCAUGUGGUCAGGGAAGACAUCUUUCCGACACCAAAGCCGGGGCAACCUGGCGCUUUUUGUAUGAGCCCGCCGGCCUAUCAGCUAGUUGGUGAGGUAACGGCUCACCAAGGCUAUGACGGGUAGCUGGUCUGAGAGGACGACCAGUCACACUGGAACUGAGACACGGUCCAGACACCUACGGGUGGCAGCAGUCGAGAAUUUUUCUCAAUGGGGCAACCCUGAAGGAGCGACGCCGCGUGGAGGAUGAA